rnacentral:rRNA from 1 species
GCACAACGCGAAGAACCUUACCAAGGCUUGACAUAUACGAGAACGCUCUAGAAAUAGAGAACUCUUUGGACACUCGUAUACAGGUGGUGCAUGGUUGUCGUCAGCUCGUGUCGUGAGAUGUUGGGUUAAGUCCCGCAACGAGCGCAACCCUCGUUCUAUGUUGCCAGCGGUUCGGCCCGGGAACUCAUAGGAGACUGCCGGGGUCAACUCGGAGGAAGGUGGGGAUGACGUCAAAUCAUCAUGCCCCUUAUGUCUUGGGCUUCACGCAUGCUACAAUGGCCGGUACAAAGGGCUGCAAUACCGCAAGGUGGAGCGAAUCCCAAAAAGCCGGUCUCAGUUCGGAUUGAGGUCUGCAACUCGACCUCAUGAAGUCGGAGUCGCUAGGUAAUCGCAGAUCAGCAACGCUGCGGUGAAUACGUUCCCGGGUCUUGUACACACCG